CUGUGGGCCUGUAUACCUGCUCACAGUGCACCAUGGGUGUCACAGAUAAUUAUCUGCAUGCUCUGUGGGCCUGUAUACCUGCUCACAGUGCACCAUGGGUGUCACAGAUAAUUAUCUGCAUGCUCUGUGGGCCUGUAUACCUGCUCACAGUGCACCAUGGGUGUCACAGAUAAUUAUCUGCAUGCUCUGUUGGCCUGUAUACCUGCUCACAGUGUACAAUGG